AAACCAAUUGAAAGUUUAGAUUCGGGCAUUACAAAUGCCACUAGAAGGAUUCAUAUAAAUAUGGGUCCAUUCCAAUCAAUUGAUCAUAAAUAUAAAAAAACACCACAAGGGAAUUCUUCCAAAAAAAAGAAGCUUUCUUGGUUCAAGAACCAUGGCGAUUGGUUGGAAUAUAGUGUUCAUAAAGAAGCGGCCUUUUGUUUCUAUUGCUUUCUUUUUAAGCAACCAAGAAUAGAAAAUUUUGGUAUUGAGGCAUUCCCAAGGAUGGGAUUUAGAAAUUGGAAGGAUGGACCUAGUGUUCGUGAUACACAUGUUGGUAAACAUAAUAGUGCUCACAAUGAAGCAAGACAAUAUUAUGAGGCUUUCAAAAAUCAAAGGCAAUGUGUGGCACAUGUGAUGGAUCGUGAAGGUCAUGUUUUUCGUGGCCAUGAUGAGAGUUUGAGCCCAAAUAAUAGGGGGGACUUUUUGGAGAUGAUGAGUUGGUACAGGUAGAAGGAUCCAAUUGCUAGGACUUUGCUUGAUAGUACGGGUGGGAACCAUUUGAUGACAUCGCGUGAGAUAUAAUUUCAACUGUGCCAAUCUUGGGGAGAAGAGACCACCAGCUCCAUUAUUGCUCAUAUUGGUGAUAUGUUUUUUUCUUUACUUGUUGAUGAGUCCAGAGAUGCAUCUAUAAAAGAGCAAAAGGUAUGGUCUUAAGGGUAUGUCAACAGUCAUGGGUGUACGAUUGAGAGACUUACUGAGAUUAAGCAUAUUGGUGACACAAGAGUAGCUUCUCUAAAGGCAACUUUGGAUGGUAUGUUUCUUGAACAUGGCUUGUCUAUGUCUAAAUUGAGAUUCAAAGGGUAUGAUGGAGCUUCUAACAUGAGAGGACAAUUUCGUGGGUUGCAAAAGUUGAUACAAGAUGAAAAUCCUUACGCAUUUCAUAUCCAUUGUUUUGCCCAUCAGUUGUAGUUAGUGGUUGUUGCUGUUGCCAAGUGUUGUUCCUCUGUAAUGGAUUUCUUUAAGCGCAUAACUUUGAUUGUCAAUACCGUCCAUGCUUCUUGUAAGAGACAUGAUGAAUUAGCCCAACAACAUCAUGACAAUAUUGUAAGCCAAUUGGACUCCGGGGAAAAUAAUUCAGGAAGAGGGAAAGAACAAGCAAUCAACCUUGUUCGACAAAAUUUAAGACAAAGAAGCACAACAGGUGGCUUUAUUUCUCAGAUGGAAAGCUUUGAAUUGGUUUUCAUGUUGCAUCUUAUGAUCAAACUAUUGGGCAAGACUAAUCAGUUGUCACACUGUUUGCAAAGGAAAUAUCAAAACAUUGUUCUUGAAGUGAGUUUUAUAGGGGUCGGGUUGUAGAAAUUUCAAGAUAUAAAAGAAAAUGGUUGGGAUCAGCUCUUGGAACAGACAAAUGACUUUUGUGUUAAACAUAACAUUAUAUUGCCUAACAUGGAUGUUACAAUACCUGCUCAAGGUCGUUCGAGGGGGCGUGGUGGUCAAAUGGUAACUUAUUAUCAUCGCUUCAGUUAUGAAUUGUUCAGUGUUAUGCAUGACUAAGUUAUUACUGAUUUAAAUAAUCGGUUUGCUGAAAGAUCUACUCAAUUGCUAAGAUGCAUUGCUUGUCUUCAUUCAAGGAACUCAUUUGCUAAUUUCGAUGAAGAAAAAAUUGUUGAACUUGCUAAGUUGUAUGUUGAUGACUUCUCCAUAUAUGAGAUUGCUUUUGUCCUUAGAAAUCAGCUUGAAACAUUCAUUGCUGAUGUGAGAGCUAAUCUAGAUUUUGUUAGUUGUAAUGACCUUGGUAAUCUUGUUGUGAAGAUGGUUGAGACUAGUAGACACAUCGUUUUUCCUUUGGUAUAUCGCCUCAUUGAGUUGGCAUUGAUUUUGCCUAUUGCAACCGCAUCAGUGGAAAGAGAUUUCUUAGCUAUGAAUAUUAUCAAGACUGGGUUGAGGAAUAGGACGAGUGAUAAUUGGCUGAACUAUAGAAUGAUUUGCUAUAUUGAGCGACAUGUAUUUGCGAGUAUUGAUGAUGAAGCUAUUGUGUAUCGCUUUCAAUCAUAUACGCCUCGCAAAGGGAUUUUACCUCAUCAAAGGGGCACAUUUUUAAAAAACUUUAUCAAUGAUAAUUGUUUCACUUGA
rnacentral:rRNA from 1 species